CCUACGGGAGGCAGCAGUGGGGGAUAUUGCACAAUGGGGGGAACCCUGAUGCAGCGAAGCCGCGUGGGUGAAGAAGCGCCUCGGCGCGUAAAGCCCUGUCAGCAGGGAAGAAAAUGAAGGUACCUGAAGAAGAAGCCCCGGCUAACUACGUGCCAGCAGCCGGGGUAAUACGGAGGGGGCAAGAGUGAUCCGGAUUUACUGGGAGGAAAGGGGGCGCAGACGGCGAUGCAAGCCAGGAGUGAAAGCCGGGGGCCCAACCCCGGGACUGCUCUUGGAACUGCGUGGCUGGAGUGCAGGAGGGGCAGGCGGAAUUCCUGGUGUAGCGGUGAAAUGCGUAGAUAUCAGGAGGAACACCGGUGGCGAAGGCGGCCUGCUGGACUGCAACUGACGUUGAGGCCCGAAAGCGUGGGGAGCAAACAGGAUUAGAUACCCCAGUAGUC
rnacentral:rRNA from 1 species